UACGUAGGGCGCAAGCGUUGUCCGGAAUUAUUGGGCGUAAAGAGCUCGUAGGCGGCUUGUCACGUCGGGUGUGAAAGCCCGGGGCUUAACCCCGGGUCUGCAUUCGAUACGGGCUGGCUAGAGUGUGGUAGGGGAGAUCGGAAUUCCUGGUGUAGCGGUGAAAUGCGCAGAUAUCAGGAGGAACACCGGUGGCGAAGGCGGAUCUCUAGGCCAUUACUGACGCUGAGGAGCGAAAGCGUGGGGAGCGAACAGG
rnacentral:rRNA from 1 species